rnacentral:rRNA from 1 species
UGAACGCUGGCGGCGUGCCUAAUACAUGCAAGUCGAGCGAACGGACGAGAAGCUUGCUUCUCUGAUGUUAGCGGCGGACGGGUGAGUAACGCGUGGAUAACCUACCUAUAAGACUGGGAUAACUUCGGGAAACCGGAGCUAAUACCGGAUAAUAUUUUGAACCGCAUGGUUCAAAAGUGAAAGACGGUCUUGCUGUCACUUAUAGAUGGAUCCGCGCUGCAUUAGCUAGUUGGUAAGGUAACGGCUUACCAAGGCAACGAUGCAUAGCCGACCUGAGAGGGUGAUCGGCCACACUGGAACUGAGACACGGUCCAGACUCCUACGGGAGGCAGCAGUAGGGAAUCUUCCGCAAUGGGCGAAAGCCUGACGGAGCAACGCCGCGUGAGUGAUGAAGGUCUUCGGAUCGUAAAACUCUGUUAUUAGGGAAGAACAUAUGUGUAAGUAACUGUGCACAUCUUGACGGUACCUAAUCAGAAAGCCACGGCUAACUACGUG